AGGCGCAUAGCGCAGUGGUAGCGCGUCCCCUUGCAAGCAGAAGGCCCCGGGUUCAAUCCCCGGUGUGUCCA
rnacentral:tRNA from 1 species